UACAGAGGUCUCAAGCGUUGUUCGGAUUCAUUGGGCGUAAAGGGUGCGUAGGCGGCGCGGUAAGUCGGGUGUGAAAUCUCGGAGCUUAACUCCGAAACUGCACUCGAUACUGCCAUGCUUGAGGACUGGAGAGGAGACUGGAAUUUACGGCGUAGCGGUGAAAUGCGUAGAUAUCGUAAGGAAGACCAGUGGCGAAGGCGGGUCUCUGGACAGUUCCUGACGCUGAGGCACGAAGGUCAGGGGAGCAAACGGG
rnacentral:rRNA from 1 species